rnacentral:rRNA from 1 species
UGAACACGCCCGAUCUCGUCUGAUCUCAGAAGUGACUCA